UAAGCAUAUCAAUAAGCGGAGGA
rnacentral:rRNA from 1 species